rnacentral:tRNA from 1 species
UGUCCUGAAGCAUUGGUGGUUGAUGCGGUCGACUCAUAAUCGACUGAAGGGGGUUCAACUCCCCACGGGACAACCA